rnacentral:tRNA from 2 species
GCCCGGAUGGUGGAAUCGGUAGACACAAGGGAUUUAAAAUCCCUCGGCGUUCGCGCUGUGCGGGUUCAAUUCCCGCUCCGGGUACCA